UGGGUUUCUUCCCUUCUAAGCUUGGCCUAGAAACUCAUAUUUUAUUCAUGAAAAUGGAGGCCCUGGGAGGCCUUGGCAUAAACAGGAUGUAAAUAUUUGCGGGCAGUUGAAGGAGCGGUGACAUCUGAGCCGGGGCUGUCCAGAACUGGGAUGUCUGGGACAACGCUUACUUGGGGACCCGCCUACCUCCACCUCCGCUACAGGUUGAGGUGGAGGACCAGGACCGAGCGGGAGGUCUCAUGUAGUCCAGGCUGCCCCGGAAAUACAUAAGUACUUCCAAGUGCUGGGAUUACAGCUAGCUCCACUCCGCUGAUGUUAACUUGGCAUGGCUGGGAGCUGCCUGGAGAACACCGGAGUGGCCUGGGACGCGCACAGGAGGCCCUCCCACACCUCUAAUCCCAGCAGAGGCAGGGGGAUCUCUGAGUUUGAUGACAGCCUGGUCUACAAAACAAGUUCCAGGCAGGACAGCCAAGGAUUGCAAUACAGAGAAACCCCAUUUUGAAAAACAAAACAAAACCCAAAAAAAAAAAAAAAGUUUUUUCCCUCUCUGUACCAUAUCUGAGUCAUCUCUCCCUCCGUCUCCUCCAGAGACAUUCCCUGGGCACAGUCAUUAAGUGGGUCACAAGGUGGCUUUGGGCUUUGGGCACCAGCAUCCAAAGAGUGACCACUCAACAGGGACAUCAUCCCAGCUGUCACUUUGAAAAGAAACUGCCAUGUGAGAAAUGGGGAAUGCUCAAAGAGGAAGCUCAUGGUCUGAGCACCCUGGUCUACAGGCCCUGGUAAACCUUCCACCCCCCCCCCCACCACAGUACGCAGGCAGCGGGAGGGAACAGGAAGGGGAGGGUCACCCAUAGCCACCCAUGGCCCAGACUUCACAGGAAGUUGACCCUAUUUUUAGACAGGGUCUCCUGUAACCCAGGCUGAACCCCAACUCCCGAUAAGCUUAGGAUAGCUUUGAACUUCCGAUACUGGGAUCACAGUCAGCUCCAAGCCCAGUUGAUAUCAUGAAUGCAGUGCUUUGUGCAUGCUAGGAGGGCACUGCCAGCUGAGCUACAGCCCCAUCUCUAUUUUUCAUAUGAUUUUACCCCCUAUAGCCCUCUGUGCCUUGGGUUUUGAUGCUUAGCUUUGCCGAUGUUCUGAGAGAGACUUCCUUUGUAGUCCAGGCUUGCCUAGACUCCACAGGCCUCUUCUGCCUUGGCCUCUAUGGUACUACCACCAUGCCUACCUUGGUCUCUUCCAUUUUGAAGAAGGAUUUAAUUUUAAUUUUUGAGAUGGGGGUCUCAUGUAAUCCUUGAUGACCUUGAAGUCACUGUGGAGCUGAGAAUGACCGUAAACUCUUGAUCCUUCCGUCCCCUAAUAUUAAGAUUACAGGCAUAUAUCACGAUGGGUGGGUUUUAUGCACCAGUGCUCCAGCCAGGCAGCGGUGGUGCAUGCCUUUAAUCCCAGCACUCGGGAGGCAGAAGUUGGUGGAUUUCUGUGAGUUCAAGGCCAGCCUAGUCUACAGAGUAAGUUCCAGUAUAGACUCCAAAGCUACACAGAGAAACCCUGUCUCAAAAAACAAAAACACUUUCAAAAUAUUUAUUUGGUAUAUAUGUGUGUGUAAGAGAGAGAGAGAGAGAGAGAGAGAGAGAGAGAGAGAGAGAGAGAGAGAGAGAACUACAGCAACAAUGUGGACGUCUAAGUACAAUUGCAGGAGUUGGUUCUCUCUUCCAUUGUGUGAGUUCUGGGGACUGAAUUCAUGUCAUCUUUUGGUAGUCAGCACCUUUACCUGCUGAGCCAUCUGUCUGGCCCUGUCAUUGUUUGGUUUUUUAAAGAUUUGUAUGUUUUUAUCUUAUGGGUAUGAAUCUCUUGCCUGCAUAUAUUAUAUGUGCACGCCUGGUGCCUGUGGGAGGCAGAAGAGCCAGAUUCCCUGGGACGAGAGUUAAAGAUGGCUGUGAGCCACCAGGAGAAAAGUCAACAGACCGAAAAUAAAAGUGAAGACACUCAGAGCUCAAUGAUCAGCCUGCGCAGCACAGGGGCCAACAGACCACCCACAGCUGAGGUUUUAAAGGUCACCCCACAUCCUGGGACAUAAAAUCUGUCCUCUGCCCAUCUGGGAAAGUUCUCUCCUUGUUUUCUUAUUAUUAAAAGAGGAAGCAAGAAGGAAAAGCAUAGCCAGGAGUGGUGGCUCAGUCUUUAAUCUCAGCACUCCAAAGGCAGGGGCAGGGGGAAGCUGAGUUCAAGUCCAGCCUGGUCUACAUAGAGAGUCCAGGUCAGCCUGGUCUACACAGAGAGCCCUGGUCUACAUAGAGAGAUUCUGUCUCAAGAACAACAGAAAGCAAGGCAAGCAAUUCAAAACUGUUAAUGUCCAACUAAAGAGUUCAAAUGAAAACCUUUGUGCUUACCAGAGGCGAUUGGAGGAGAGCGUCUAGACAGGCAGAGGAGUUCUGUAAACGUGCACAAGGCUGAGUUUGCUAACAAUAGGGCAAGCCCACUUGGAAAUCACCAGCUUCAACGCUACAAAAUGCCACCUUGGGGAAAAGGGCUUUUAUUUUUUUCUUUUUCUGUGACACUGGUGGUUGAACCCAGGGCUUGUGACUCGAGCCCUGUUAUUUCUCUGUGUCUCUCAGGCUGGCCUCCAUCACCCAAGAGCUAAGGUGUGUGGUCUCCUGUCGGCUUUUGUUGUUUUACUGAGGCGGAGUCCCCUGUGCAGUCCAAGGCUGGCCUAGAAUGUAUCAUCCUCCUGCCUCCUCAGUGUUAGGAUGACAGGUUGUACCACCACGCCUAGCAAGGAAGGAUCUUCAGUUUUCAUUUUAUUUUUCUGCAUUUUUGGGAUGGGGGUCUCACUAUGUAUAACUCUGGCUGGCCUUGAACUCACAAAGACCUGGCGCCUCUGCCCCUGAGUGCUGUAACUAAAGGCCUGUGCCACCAAGAAAGUGUGCCAGGAGGUGGUGGUGCUACACACCAAACUCAGGUCCUCUGUCAGAGCAGGGAGAGCUGCCAACCACUGAGCCACUCUCCAGACCUGGAAAAUACCUACUUGUUCAGUUUCUAUUUGUUUACUUAAAACUUAAUUUGUAUGUUCUAUACACGCAUGUGCGCAGGUCCACUCACCUAGGCAGGCUGUUGUGGAAGCCAGAGGCUGAUGUGAAGAUGUAUUUCUCAGUUUCUCUCCACUUCAUUUUUUUAAUUAAAAAAAAAAAUUUAUGGGGCUGGGCGGUGGUGGCGCACGCCUUUAAUCCCAGGACUUGGGAGGCAGACGUAGGUGGAUCUCUAUGAGUUCGAGGCCAGCCUGGUCUACAGAGAGUUCCAGGCCAUCCUGGUCUACAUAAGCUGACCCUCUUUCGAAAAAAGAAACAAAAAUUACGAGAGGGGGGUGUGGUGGCUUUGCAUUCCAGCAUCAAGAGGCAGGACAAUUGAUCAAUGUGAGUUCACGGCCAGCUGGAGCUACACAGUGAGCUCCCGGGCCCAAACUAAAAAUUUAUCAUUAUUGGGCUGAAGAGAUGGCUCAGUGGUGAAGACAGUAGCUUUCCUUCCCGAGGACCUGAGACCAGGUCCCAGCACCCACACUGGCCAGCUCACAACUGCCUGGAACUCUAGCUACAGUGUCCAAUGCUCUCUUCCUGCCUCUGUGGACACCUGCACAGACACGUACAUAUAAAUAAAAGUUCUUUAUUUAA